rnacentral:sRNA from 1 species
AGACCGGAUAGAAUGGCCACUCGAAAAGCCGCUACCCUGGCGGCCUUCCGGUCUGAAUAUUUCACCAUACAGGG